rnacentral:misc_RNA from 1 species
GCUUAUAAACUCAAAUUUCAAAUAGAAAUGUAUGUGGAUGGCUGCAUGCCUUAUGCCUUAAUUUGGGGCACUUGUUAAACUAUAGCUUGCUUGGCAUUGCGUUUUAAAUUGUUAUUCAGAAAAACACCCUUCUAGAUGCCUUUGAAAAAAGCAGAUAGAAACUGUUUUGGAUGUGCUUUAUGCUUUAAGAUUUUUAACCCAAAACAUCCAAAUUGCACAUUACAAGCAAUUUUUAAUUGCUCUCAACUGCAGCUGCAACAGUUUUGCCAAAUAGAUCUUAUCAUGAUAGUCUUGAUGUUAAUUAUUCAUAAAAAAUGAUUAAUAAGAGAGAGCAAGGAAAAAAAAUAGUCUUCAGGUCAAACAGGCAAUCCAUUAAAAGAAUGCAGAAUUUGCACUUUCCAAACAUACAAGAAAAAGAGUUCUCAUAAAUCACUCUGCCAAAGACAAUUCUUCCUUGGAUACUCUAGGAGAUGCCGAUGGCAGUUAAUUAUGGUAUUAUAACUAAACUUAUCUUUGUACAUUCUGCAUAAAG